AGUACACCUUUUGCUGCAGACAAGCUACUUUAUAAAUGGUUGAGAAAAUAUGACAGCAAAUAUGGAAAGGAAAUGUUACAUGCAUUGUGAGCCUCUUCAUCAUGGAAAUGCAUUUGGAGAAUUUGCUCUAGGGGUUGAAUUUCCUUUCAUAAUCUGGAAAAUGUGAAUAGGCUGAAAUUAUAAGGUGGAGAAGAAGAAGGUGAAAUCCAUCAAUAGGCAUAAACGAGUGGAGUGGGUUCCUAUCAAUUAGGUCGAUUCUCUCCCUUCUUCUCUGUUUACUUCCUUUUCUCUUCUUACUUGCAAUUCAAUUCUCUACUGUUUGCUUCAUUUAAA